rnacentral:snoRNA from 1 species
GAGCAAGGGUGUCACAAUGAAAAUGGCAUAGUUUGCAUUGAACGUUGACAAUAUCAAACUUGUGGUUCUCCAUGCCUAUCAUUUCUCUGUUUCAUUUUGAUUCUGGCCUCGAACAAAUUGCUAUAUU